GCCCCUCCCCUGCUGUGUGCGCUUGUGCUCUCUCUCUCCCCCCUCCCACACACACACUCUCUCUCUCUCUCUCUCUCAAAACAAAUAAACUUAAAAAAAAUAAACACUCUUGUGCAAGGAGCAGAGGCCCCCCUCUCCAGAGUACGUCUAAGACAGAAACACCAACCGCACAGCAAACGGACUCAAACUAACCUGUUCCUGACGGUUAGCUGGAUCCGUGGAGUGAGGGGAGCAGGCAGGCCAGACCCCCAGACCGGUGCUCCUGGCAGAGAGGAGAGGCUGGCCGCACUCCCUCCUGGACUCGUACAGCUGCUCAGGGCCAGGCCCUGGCGGAGCUACCUGCGCUGGGGGGAGGGGGGGGGCAGACGGCAGUGAGCACAGCCACCGCCCAUCCGGAGGCGGCUUGGCGUGGUGUGCCACGGGCCCUAGUGGGGGCUGCCCUGCCGGCUGCCUGGGAGGGUGCCGGCGGCUGGGGCCUCUGCCGGGUGGCUCCGGGGGCCGGAGCGGUGCAGGCCUGGCUGCGCGAGGCCGUGCUGGGGUGCAGUGGGGGCAGGGCAGGCCGCCGUGUAGACACGGGUGGAGGGAGGAGCACGUGGGCUGGCGUGUUUGUUUCCUCUGUCCUGACGACGCGCGGCCUUAGCCCGUCGGAGGGCUCGGGCCUUAGGGACCGUGAUGAGCCCAGCCCCACGGUGCAGGGGGGAGAUGGGAGAGCGCCCGGACCCCCUGGCCCGGCCCCACCCAGCGAGUGGUCCACUGCCUGCUCCCCAGGAGCACCCGAGGCCCCGGCCCGCUGGGGUGCCCACCACCCGAAGAUCCACCUCCCCGCGACUUGCCCCACAGAGAAGGGGACGCUCCGAUCAACAAGGAAGUAGCCCCAUCUCUCCACGGGCAACCGGGGGCCGGUGACACACGCAGGCUGCAGAGGCCGGCCGAGGGUAUCAGGAGGACGGGCCUAACUGAGAAGGAAGAGAAACGGUUUUCUGGGGCCACGGGUCCGGUUCCGCACUUGUGGGCGCGCACCGCAGGGAGGUGACUUCACUACAGGACGCGGAAGCCACGCUGGUCCACGCGAGGCUGCUGGUUCUUCAGGGUCUGGAAGAAAGUUCCCGGCAGCUCGAGUGGCAGCUCCCGCCGAGCCUCGGUCUGGUCCGCUCCUCCCUCUCCCUCUGACGAUACCGCCGUUCGUACCACGACCCCGAGCGAGAAGUCACUUGGUUUUUGCUGACUUCGGUCUCCGUAGGGAGUGACACAGCCGGUGUCCUGACUUGCUCCUGGGGGCCGUCGUUACCCAUGAGGCUGAACGGUGCGUGCCCCCCGGGCCCUUGGUGUUUUCCUCGUUGACGGCUCGGCGUCCUUGACGUCAUCUGAACGUGAGCGCUUCGUCCCGGCCCCACGCCUGGUCUCUGCAGCCUGCGUGUGUCCCGAUGAGUGCGCGUUCUUCAGUUCACGGCUGCCCAAUGUACCAGCCUCUGCCUUGACGCUUUCUGCCUUUUCUGGCUUGUUUCGGAAAGCCCUGCUCCCCUAGGGACCUAGGUGCUUGCUCCUGUACGUCUUCUACCCAGCAUUUCUGCCCGGACGCCACACUCUUUUCUUAAUCCACGGCCGAUAUUCCCGAGACGUCCACCGAGAAGGCCCUCUGCGGCGUCCCUGCGUGUCGGAUCACGCGUCUGUCCUCGCUCCCCGCCCGCCCCUUGUCGGCCGGUCUGUCCUGCACCAGCGCCUCCGUCUCGGCUCCGACGGGGACAGCUCCCCACCCGCUCCGUCUGGCUGUCCUGUGCCGCGAGCGUCCCCGCGAAUUUGCAGCAGCUCGCCGCGUCCUGCAGCAAAACCGGAUGGGCGCUGACCGGUCCUUGCGGGCACCGUCUUCGCCAGCCGCCCGGGCUCACGCUCCGUCAGCGCGGUGGUGCCGAGAAGCUAGAGCCUUAUCGGCGUCUCCACGAAGUUCGCACCUGUUGUUAGAUUUGUACAGGUCUUCACGUGUUUGUUCUGGGACACAGAGAUGUAGCCGAUCCUGUACAUCGUAUUUGCAUCCAACAUACUUGCUACGUGCUAUUUCCUCUGGUAACGUGUGCACAAUGCUUCCGGGUUUUCCACCUUA